GCUUAGUUAGUUUCAAGGCAAAAUAUGGUUUUUGUAAUACCAAGAUACUUCAGGGUACUGGGCC
rnacentral:tRNA from 1 species